GGUCCUCCGGGUGCAGCCUGUCAACACUGCCAUAAAGAGCGUGAAGCUCUCCCCUCUCGGCGUCAUCGAUAGGAAAGCCUGAUCGUUACUGAGAGCUGAAGCUGGUGGUGCUGGUGUCCAAGGUGGUGGUCUUCCUCCCUCCUUCUGUCGGUGAUGUGCUCCCCCGGGAUUUGAUUUCCUGCACGUAUGACUGGGGGGAUUUAAGUUUGGUUUGUUUGGGGAUCCUUCCACUCACUCGUCGACCCUAUCCCCCCACUGGUGGGGGCUCUGCUAUGGAUCAGAGUGAGGACAGAGAGGAGGAAGCCCCCCCCUCUAAAGGCUCUGGGGAACAUGACAGCCAGACCAAAGCUCAGAGCCCAGAGCAAACACCACAUCCUGCUGGACCUGGACCUGGACCUGAACCUGGAC